GAGAGGAUGGCUGGAGUGGUUGAUAGCCCCCGGUCUGAAAACCCGGUAAUU
rnacentral:tRNA from 1 species